AUUGUUAAGGUGGUUAAGCAGGAGGCCAUCGGACUGGGGUGGCCCUCGUGCCCUUGGUAGCCUGUAAAAGGUUUGGUUUCAAACCCUAAGCCCACGUCAGUGCCCUCGAAUCUAAGAAAACAAAACUCAAGGACAACAAAUUAUAAACAGCCAACUAGAUUUUCCCGAAUCUGAGAAAAUGAAACAAAAGCAACCUUCAUCACAGCCAAAUAACUAGAUUUUCCCAAAAAUGAGGAUUUACCCUGGCAGCUCACAGCGACACUAUCCAGUGGUCCUUGAGCCUGUCUGGGCACUGGGACCCCUUGUGGAGCUUGGAGAAGAGCUGCUUGGUUUUGAUUCCUGGAGAUCCUUACUCAGAGGGUCUGCAGCUGGGCUUAGGAAUCUAGAGUUUGAAAAGCUCUCAGGAUGAUGGAUGGGAUAGGCUGUUACAGAUUCCUCCCCUUCUCUGAGCCUCAGUUUCUUCUGCUGUGAAAUGGGGAUAACAGGACACCUUGCAAUGUUGUUUGGAGGAUUAGAGGUGUGGGGACCAGCCUUUAUUCAGACCCCCCGGGGCCCCACAGCCACCAGGGUGGACAUGGGGUCAGUAGUAGCAGGCAGCUGUGUGGGCCUCACACCUGUGUCCUCAAACUGGCAGCACACCCUGGGCCAUGCUGAGAGGGCCAGGAUUCACACCCAGGUGUGGGCUGCCUUCCCGGCCAUGGCUUGACCGCCACACCCUCCAGCCCCCAGCAGGAGGAGGUGCCUCUUUCUGAGCAAGCGGGGCUCUUGUCCUGUGUGGGGAACGUCGCUCUAAGAUAUUAGUUUCCUGUGGCUGCUGUAACAAAUCGCCACGAGCUUAGCGGCUUAAAACAUCACCAUUUAUUAUCUUAGUGUUGUGUAGGUUAGAAAUCUGACAUGGGUCUCCCUGGGCUACAACCCAGGUGCCACGAGGCUGCGUUCCUCUUGAGACUCGAAAGGAGAACGGAUUUCCCUGCGUCUUCCGGCUUCUGGAGGCUGCCUUCCUCCAUCUCUGAAACCAACAACAGCGGGUUGGGUCCUUCCUCAGAGAGCGUCACUCUGGUCUCCUCUUUUGCCUCCCUCUUUCAGUUUUAAUCCUGCCGAUUACGACGGGUCCACCUGAAUGGUCUGGGAUGCUCUCCUUAUUUUAAGGUCAGCUGAGUAGCAACCUUAAUCCGCCCGCAGCCUUCGUUCCCCUUUGCCACAUAAGAUAACUUUCCCAGGUUGUGGGGAUUGGGACGUGGACGUCUUUGGGGCACGUUGUGCUGCUCACCACAUCUACUGUCUUGGGCGAUUCUUUCGAUCGUUUACAAUUGUUCAUCUCAGCCCAUCUCCCUAUCCAGAUGUCAACUCCUGAAACACUGAAGUUGUGUCUUUUUCUUACCUGACCUGCCUAUGACUUGAGCCUCAGACCUGGCUGUAGCCAGGGGUAGGUG
rnacentral:lncRNA from 1 species